UGUCCACACAUUGGAUUACUCGGAGGGACACAUUGGAGGGCUUCCUGCAAUGCCCAGGUGUAAAUAAGAGUGGGCGAUUCAGAGCUGCAUUCGUGAUGUGCUCAUAUACAAUUAUUGUCAACAGGUGCAAUAGGAAAAUUUGCAAAUCGAGUAUUUUGCAUGGAUAGCUGCUCGGAUGGCUUGGCGAUGCCCCGUCUAUGGUUCAAGUUCAGUGAUGACCGCGAUGCAUGGGGUCACCCCCUCCUUAUGAUGUAUCCACCAAGGAGUGAUUCUGGUCGUUGUCUGAUGGCAUUCGUGACCUUUCCACCUUUGAAGAACUUCAACUGAAUAACAGGUGACCAAAACGGUAUAUCAUGAAGAGGGUCUAAUCGCACGUCUCCAUUGCCUCAGAGGUCGAAAUCAAUCUUGAACUCUCGCGGUUACUAAUUUAUUAGACACGGUUCAUGUUGGAGUAAAAGAGGAAAUUUGAUGAGCAGUCAUGGUGUGAGCUCACCCAUCGAUAAAACGAUGGCUUUGAUAGUUUAAUGCAAUAACCUGCAUUCCCUAUUGGGUUUCGCUCGCCAUUUCCAAUAAGAACACACUUUGGUGAGCCAAGUGGACCACACCCCCUUGUGAUCGAGUCAUGAGAGGCACUCAGGAAAUCUGUAGUGUAUUUUCGUGGCCAACCAGUUGGUACAGUUGUUGCGGUAGAUC